rnacentral:rRNA from 1 species
CACGUAGGGCGCAAGCGUUGUCCGGAAUUAUUGGGCGUAAAGAGCUCGUAGGCGGUCUGUUACGUCUGCUGUGAAAACCCGGGGCUUAACCCUGGGCUUGCAGUGGAUACGGGCAGACUAGAGGCAGGUAGGGGAGAAUGGAAUUCCCGGUGCAGCGGUGAAAUGCGCAGAUAUCGGGAGGAACACCGGUGGCGAAGGCGGCAUCCUGGACCGACAUUGACGCUGAGGAGCGAAAGCUAGGGGAGCAAACGGGG